GGAACAGCCUGCUCCUGAUCAGCUCCCGUCUGCUGAGCUGCCGGGCACUCAUCUAAGCAGUGCUUUUCCUGCAUUUUCCUCAUGGGUACCGAGUUAGCUGCAGCCCAGUGCUCUCCCUGAGCAGAUGUGUGCUGAAUUCAGUUGCUGGCUUAGAAAUAAGCAUCAGUGAGAUGUCAGAGAGAGGGAACAGCUCUGCCAGCUGCCAGGUGCUCCCAGCACUGCUUCGUCCUGGAGACGUGUGGGGUUCAGUGUGUGCUGGAACAUCCCGUCUUUCUCAGUCCUGCUCAGAAUUGUUUCCAGCAGUGCUGCCUUCCUCUUUAAUUAAAAAAUAAGUCCUCAACACUUGGUCCAGUGGACGUAUAAAAUCCUGAAGGUUUGUUUUCUGUUUUCACCUCCACUGCAGCAGAGUGGCUCUCUAGAACAUCCCUUAGGUUUCCUGGGUUUGUCAGAUCAGCGAAUGUCUCAUUAAAACUGUAAUAUACGAAAAUCAUUUUUCCUCCUUCGUAGUGUGAUCCCACUGCUCUGUGUUGUACUUCCCUUGUAUCUGGUGCCCAGUGGUACAGCUCCUUUAUCCUUUUUGAAUGACUUUCAUGGUUACCCUUACCUGUUGCUUUGUGUUUUUUGGUGUUCUUUUUUGGGGGGGAGGAGGGGGUUCUAAAUAGUCUGCAUUAAGGUUGUGUGCUCUUUGCAGCAAGUAUCUUGGGCUUGCUUUUCAUUUCUUGUGAAGCAUCCAAUGCACUUUUGCCUUGAUCCUGGAGUGAGAGCACCCCAAGCAAAGUAAUACAGCCGGCUGUCCAUGUCCUGCUACAGCUGAGAGGUUCUGAUUUCCCUACUUUUUGCCAAGACCCAGCCGGGCCAGGUCUGACAGGUGAAUUUGGGCACCGCCCAGCUUCCCCACAUGUUGGGUUUCAGCUUCCGUCUUUGCAUCCUCUUUCCUUGGUCUGAUUAGAACCCACUGUAACAAAUGCAGCAGGGCCAGCUGUGGUGCCUUGGCAGGUACCAAACACAGGGCAGCAAACCCUCCAGCUAAUCCAUCCAUGCUAUGAAGUCAUAAGAAUCUUGUUAAUUUUUAAAAAGCCCUCGAUGCCCGCUAAUCCAAAUCAAUUUUCAUUUCUUUCAUAAAGUCGUGCUUUCAUUUAGGCUUCAGCUAAGAAUUACAGCUAAUUUGUUCGAUUUUAUAACGGUGUAAUUGAAAAAGUGAUUUUAAUGUCCUGGCAACCAGAUUCCCUUUCUUUGGUUGUUAAUGAAAGAAUCCAUUAAGGUUAAAUGAUUUGGGCAUGGAUUCAAGUAGAAUCGCCUGAAUAUUCUGGGGGAGUGUUUCUGACCAUCUGCUGCUCUGUCAUUGGCGUUUGUGUUGUAAAUGGGGCUGUGAGGAGGACUUCACAGGUCCUGUUCCAACCAUUAACCGUAAAAUAUCAUUUUAAUUUUCUGAGCUCGAUGCAAAUAGUGGAAACGCUCAGGAGAGCUGGCUGCGCUCUGGGCUGCAGCAUCCUGUGUGUGUGGAUAUCGCUGCUGAGCUGUGUCCCCUCCUGCUUCUUGGGGCUGUUUGCAUUGAUUGCAGCACAUCCUCGUGCUCUGUCGCUCCUCUGUGUCUUCACUUCUUCACCCAAGGUUUGAAAUUGAGCACAGUGCUACUCUGUAGGGUGCUGAAGAACUGAGGGAUGAUGCGUUCUCUGGAUGCUGUUCCAUCCAGUGUGUUUUUAUUUAUAUUGUGGAUUAUGUAAAAUUGCUAACUGAGGAAAACAGCACAAAACCUACUUGAGUUGUAAUUGUAGCCCAUAGGUGAAAGAGCUUUGUGUCCUCUGUUUGAUAAUAUUACUUUCUAGUUGAUGUUCUCAAGAGGCAUUGCUGCAGAUUGUAUCGUGCUGCAUGUUUUUAGCUUUCUCAAGCAUUGAAAGAUGAAAGUAUGACCUAAAAAUACGCUUGACUUAAAUAGUUCAAGUGCAGAAAUAGAUAAUAUUGUAACAGGAGAUCCUUUCAGACUCUCCUAUGAUGUUUGCAGAUCAAACGUGUGCAUGGAAUAAAAACAGGAACUUCUGCCUUGAACAAAAGCAACGUGAGUGGAUUUCCUUUCGAACAUCAGUGAAAAAACGCCGAAGUGUUUAAAUGUUGUCCAGGAAAUCAUGCA